UUCAAAAUGACUUCCAAAACAGACACAACUUGGAAAAUAUUUUACUUUCAAGACUACAAAUCAUCUCCCGAGAUGAUUGUUUAAAUUGCUGCCGAAUGCUUACAACCAACACCGGUCCCGAUGGUAAUAGAUAACGGCUAUUUUCAAAGGAGGGCCGGUUGAGCAUGCAAAGGGGACUAACUACAGUAGGCGCUCCACGGCUUCUGUUCAAAUCCUUGGCGGCGAGGAACAGAGGGACAGCGCGCAGUAAAUACCAAAUCCGUAAUGACAUCUCCAACCUCGAGCCCUUGCAAUGGCUCAUAAAAAGCUGGUUCGACCGAAAUGUGGUUGUAAACUUCGAGAUACAGGAGCUGAUGUUUCAUUCAGCCACCUCGGAGAUGGCGCUGAUGUGAGGGCAGUGAAGAACAUCCGAUCGUUCUCACGGAGGCGCCCUGCAACCUGCUGCACAGUCGCCAGAUGAUGCUGGAUGCAUGUGAACGUGGGCAGGAGCCAGGCGGUGUCCUACCUCCAGCGUCUGCUCCAGCUGAAGUACACUGGUCACCUGGCGGCCGUCACCCUCUGCCUCAUAGAGAGAUGCUCCACAAACACAGCUACACAGCCAAUGACUACCACAAAGAGCUGGAGAAGUGGCGCAGUGCAGAGUUCUAUGAGCAGGAGAUGCACCGCAUGUAGCUGCCCUUCUCUGCCAAGGUUCUGGGCGGCGUGGUGAUUGUGGAGGAGAUGCAGGAGAGACGCGCCCAGCAGCUGCGCAGGCUACAGGAGAUAAACGCCUGGCGCAGGGAGGAGAUGCUGCAGCAGUACCAAGAGCGUCUGGAUAAACUAUUGGCCCUGCAGGCAAGAACCAUUAUCUUUUAACCACUUCGUCAACCAUGACCCUUAACUGCUGUGCAAUUCCACAGUCUUGGAAUUAAGCAGAGAGUCCAAUUUCUCGCUUAAAAUGUACUCCAAACAAAAAACAUUGAAUCCAAAGUUUACCUAACCGUACAAUCCUAUGCACAAGGACUAUUUAACAAUUUACACUGAACAUUUUACAAAAACACAUUUACUGGAAAAACUAUGCAGAUGCAAAGUUUGGUAACAGAAUUUCGUUAAAAUCUCCCUCAGUUUUUUUUUUUAUGUGUCCGCGUUUUCCAAAAGCUCUUACAUAUCCGCUCCAAAUUAGGAUUCAAUACUUCCUGAAGAAAGAAUGGGGUGUCAGCUAUGGCAUGACACAAUGACUUUGAAAUAAUAUCUGUUGGUAAGUGAGGUGGACUUACACCUGGUAAUGGAAUUGCAGUAUCACGGGUCCCUGAUCUGUACUCCACAGAAAUGCAUAUGAAUGUCAUUCUCUUCAUAGUGAUGUAUCCUGAAUAGGUGCACAAAGGUCUAAAUAUGCAAUAUCCUAUUUUGCAUAUUUGGGUAUUAUUGUACACAAUGACUAUUAUUUUAAUGAGCUCUGUCCCAAAACAAAACCACAUUUGUUUGGUCAUUAAAGUACAGCACAAUAGAGCUCAGUAGAGUAAAGUUCAGAACAUUAUACAACGGGUGGGUCUAAUCCUGAAUGCUGAUUAGUUAAAAGCGCAUUUCAGCCGGUGUCUAUUCCACAAAUUACUACCGGCUAAAUCUAUGACGUCAAAAUGCCUAUUCAUUCUGUUCCAUCUGACUGCGCAAUCCACUGUCUCGGUAACCCAGACAGGGAAGUUAUAAACUUGAUCUCCACUAUAAAAAUAAUCGAGACAUUAUCUCAUAUUUUUGUAUAAGAUUUGUAUAAACCAGUCUGUCUCUCCGACAUUUGUAACAUUGUUUCAAUUUUCAAAUUCGAUUUCCAACUGUCCCAUAGUAAUGAACGUGUAAUGGUCGAGAAUCAGGACGAGAGAGAGGGAGGCAGGCAGCGUUACUCAGCCAUUGGAAAUCAUGAAUCAGCUGGAUAUAUAGAUCUCAAUUGGAAAAAGGUGAAACGAAGUGCAGCUAGUUUGCAGUCUUUCCAGCUUCAGUUUGAAGUUAAUGUUAACUGUGUUUGUUGGCUAGCUCCUCUGAACAAGUGUCCUAAUGAGAGAGCACAUUUUCUAUGCCAAGCGAAAUCGUGCCUCAUUAGCUCAUUGUUAAGGAUGUAUCCAAAUAAAUGUCACUAGAAAACAGCCUAAUCAAAUGCAUCUCCUGUUGUUGUUUGGCGUGACUGUAAAUUAACAGUAGUUGGCUAGCAAGCAAGGGAUCAGAACGUUGCCAGUAUGGCAAUGGAACAUUUAGAAUGAAUGACUGGGUCGCGUCCAUAGAUACAGAACAAAAAGACUGAACAACUGGGUCGAGUCUCUGGCAACUGAACCAAUAGAACGAAAGACCAGCCGGCUUGGGUAGUAACCCUAGAUAUUUAUUUAUAGACUAAUAAAAAUCAGUAACGGAUUUAGACAUGGGCAGCCGCCCAGGGCGGAAUCUUGCUGGGGGAGGUUCGCCAAGGGCGCCAUACUAGCUAGAACCACCACUUACACUUGAAACAAAUAGCCAAACUGAGAACUGCAAACAAAAAUGCUUUCUGCUACUAAGAUCAGUGAAAUGUAGCCUAAACUGACAACCGUGCGAAGAGCAGAAACCUACACGAAGGGGGGGGGGGGAUUCUGGCUCCAAACACCGGCUUCUCGGGCAUGAUCACAGUCAUAUAACGGGAUACCAAUAUAUUCAAAUAAUGAUUGACAUAGGCAUUAACUUUAUUUUAAUAAAUUUAUUCAUACUAUUUCAUCCUUCCACAAUAUAUAGUCACGAAAAAUACCUGGGUUACUAUCCAAGCCGGCUGGUCUUUCGUUCUAUUGGUGCAGUUUCCAAAGACUCGACCCAGUUGUUCAAUAAGAACAAAUUCUUAUUUUCAAUAACGGCCUAGCAACAGUGGGUUAACUGCCUUGUUC